rnacentral:rRNA from 1 species
UGGGGAAUUUUGCACAAUGGGGGAAACCCUGAUGCAGCGACGCCGCGUGAUUUAGAAGGCCUUCGGGUUGUAAAAAUCUUUUCUAUGGGAAGAAAAUGACAGUACCAUAGGAAUAAGGACUGGCUAAUUACGUGCCAGCAGCCGCGGUAAUACGUAAGGUCCGAGCGUUGUCCGGAAUCAUUGGGCGUAAAGGGUACGUAGGCGGGUAAGCAAGUUAGAAGUGAAAUCCUGUAGCUCAACUACAGUAAGCUUUUAAAACUGCUCAUCUUGAGAGAUGGAAGGGAAAGUGGAAUUCCUAGUGUAGCGGUGAAAUGCGCAGAUAUUAGGAGGAAUACCGGUGGCGAAGGCGACUUUCUGGCCAUAAUCUGACGCUGGGGUACGAAAGCGUGGGUAGCAAACAGG